GCUACCCGGACUACAUUGUUUCGUGUUUCCGUCCCCUUCACUUCUCUCCCUUUCUUCUCCAUCCAGCAAGUUCAGCGCAGCGGCGGGGAUCUCCCAUGGCGCGGCUGCGCCGGCGUCGCCACAUCAGGUUGUGCGGGCUGCAUCUAGGUCCUUCCUCUUUUCUCCCUGGGCUGUGAUGAGGUCAGCUUGCACCGUGCUGGAUGAACCAACUAGGAGGUCGCACGGGCUUCGCUCUUCACCAAAUGCUCACAGCAUUGAGCCGGCUCAUGACCCAUGCUCCUCGAGCUCGUCGCUGUGAGGGGUGUUCUCCGCUAGUACUAUUUUCUCCAUUUCCCGUUGGUUUGUGUGUGAGAUGGGUUUUACUAGGUUUGAUAUUUGUAUUUGGUUGUCUGUUGAUUUGCAGCUAUAGGCCUCCAGCUCCUGGCCGGCAGCCCACUCACCGCCUCUUUAGAUCCAGGCUGGGUGCUGUGUCCUUUGCAGGUUUCCACCGGUUUCCACCCUACGUUGAUUGGCACCAGAAAGAGUAGCUUUCUGAUAGUCAGUACUUUGUCAAGCAGUGGGUCUCAUGAUGGCACUUAAAAGGCUCCAUAUACACGGAUCUCGCUUUUUACAGGAGGUAUGAUCUCGGAUUCUUUGGCGAUGGCAUAUGUUGUUCAGUGUUUAACAGUAUAAACGCGAGCAUAUGCCAAUCUCCUGGUGCAGCUUUCUUCUUAUGUUGUUUAGUGUUACAUCUAUCAGGUUACAGGGUUGUUGAUUGAUGGUUGUAUCUUGCAUGGCCCAUUUAGAAAACAAUAUUAUGUAAUUUCAUUGACCUUUGGCAUUAUCAAUUUAUUAUUAAAUCAUUUUUCAUAGUCGACUUAGCUGUUUUGAUUAGGUAUGUUAUACCUAUCGUCCAUGGGGCUACUUUAAGGAAUUGCUUUCCCCCCACUUUGUUCAACCUAGAAUGACCACUAUGUUUCAUACAGAUAGCCAAUUUAGUGGCUGGAAUAUCAUUUCAUUUACUGUUCUCCCUUUCCCUUGUGCAUUCCUCAUGAAUGCCUAUUUUUUACUUUCAUAUUCUAACAUUCCUCGAUUUACUAAUUUCACAUGAUCCUAAUGUCUUUUCAUUUUGUUACAACUGUUUUGGCAACCAAUAUUAUUAUUAUUAUUACCCUUGGAGGUUGUUAAGUUCUAUCUUACAAGGUGCAUACUUAAUCCUCUCAUUGUACAUUGUCUUAACAAAACUAAGAUUCAAACCUUCUACUUCUAGCAACUAAUGUCUUUUCUUGCAUUCUGUUGGAAGAAAAUAUUUAUACAUAGGUGUUCUUCACACAUCCCUUGUUUAACCUUAUUUUGUUUGUGUUGUUUUUUAAGAUAAACAUGGACUUGUCUUGUGACGACUAUGGAUGUCUAGGCUUUGCUGAUAUAUAUCUAUCAUUUUUAAGUAGUUAAGUUAUUAAAUUUUGGAAUACAAGAACUAUAAUUAUUAACAUGGACCUGUCUUGUUUUUUCAGGCCAAAAUUUUCUGAUUUUCGUUAUUCAUAUGUGUUUUUUUUUCUUGUUAUCAGCCCAAAAAUUGUACCUCUAAACCUCUAUUUUUAAGCUGUUUUUUUCUUGUCAUCAUCCAAAAAUUUGCACUGUAAAUGUGUGUUUUUUCAGAUGUAUUUUUUUCUUGUUAUCAGACUAGAAAUUGUACCAGUAAGUGUGUAUUUUCUUCUUUAGAUCUGUGGGUUUUUGCUUGUUAUAUCAGCUUAGAAAUUGUACCUAUAAAUGUCUGAGUAAAUAUAACUUUAUUAUCAGCUAAAAAUUGUACAUAGGAAAUGAAAGCUUGGAGUCUGAGCAGCAGGAUCACCGGUCACAUAUAAUCUGAGCUGAGGGGUGUGUGUGUUACAGAGCUUCUUUCCUCGAAGCUCUAUAAGUGGCCACUUUUGCUUAAUUUUUAACUCAUUUUGCUGCGUUUUUUGGAUUGCGACACUGAUGAUGAAUGUCUUCUGAUUUUAUUUCAUUUUGUAUCUUACUGAGCAUGUGGAGCGAGAUGUUUUUCUCCUUUGCUUGAGACAUUAAGCCGAGAUUUUCUGAAAGUGACUCCAAGCCUGAGGAUCGAGUAUCAAUAUUAGUCAUUUGACAAGAUCAAGGUGCCAUGACCUCUUCAUCUAAGAAAUCUGCUUUGCUGUGGCUCAUGAGGAACUAAUAGUCUUCAUUAUCCUAAUCAAUAUAUAUUGGGAAAUGGAGAAUAAAAUAACUCAACACGCUUGAAUAUAUAUUUUUAUAGCUGUAAAUUUCUGUUGUGUAGAAACACAGGCAUGCAGCAAGAGGAACAGAUGGAGGACCUUUAGUAUAUAGUAGUAGAUGUUAGCUGCAUGUGAUUGUGUGAUAUGAGUCUUAUUAUAUGCAAAUUACAUGGAUUUUGGUAAUUGUGAUUUUUUUAGCAAAAUUAUAAUUGUAACUUUGUUGUUGCUGAAA